rnacentral:lncRNA from 1 species
GAGCGUCUUGUGGCUGCGGCCUGCCCCUCAGCCUCCUCCGCGCGGUUACCCCUGUACCCGCCGCCAUCCGUCCUGGCGCUCCGGAUGAGUCAAUGAGGGGCAGGGCCCGAGGAGUGGUCUUCCCAAGAACCCCUGGUGGCCUCCCAAGGCCGGUGCUGUGUACCUCCUCCCCGACAAAAGGGGAAACUGAGGCCCCGAGGGGAGUGGGAAGAGCCGGCUGGACGUCAGGCCCAGCCGCUGGCCUCGUGGGCUGUGCGGCUAUCCUGGAGACAGAUGACAGCUCUCCCUUGGAUGGCUUUGCUGGUUCCGCACCAGCCAGCGCCCCCAUUUUUCCUGCAGCACCCUGAUCUGCACUCCCUGAGGGGCUCCCACUGUCCGCGGUGUGAGGAUGUCCCUGGAUAGUCCACUGUGUGCAGAGGCAUGGGAGUUGUCAUGUUGGGAACAUGCUAGACCUCAGUAUCCUUGAGGGAUGCUGCCUUGGGUCUGGAAACUGUUAGAGGAAACCCCAAGAGGUGCAGGCACUGAGCCUCUCAGGACAAUGACCUGGGGUCCCAGCUCCCCUGGAGGGGCCUCCUCAUGAUUGUUUGGGGGUUGAUCACAGACCAAGAGUGACGAGUGAUGUCACCCUGUGACUCAUGGCUGGACCUUCUUGCCCCUAUUGUCUCAGCACAACAUUAUUCGACUUUUCCCUCAGCGUGGGUGGGCAGAGGAAAAGCCCUGUGGCUCUGGGGACUUGGGAUCCAGAGUUGAAGACCCUUCAGCUGGCUCUGCCCUGCCAGUGCCACAGAGUGCCAUGGCCCAGGAAGACAGGUUUUCUUCCAUCUAGGCCAGGCCAUCCAGUGGCCAUCCUCCGUGUCCUCCCGCCUCCUCCUGGUGUGACUUCUGAAAACCAAGAAUUUGUUCCUGUUGACUUUUUCUGUGCUAUGGACCAUUGUCCUCUCACCCACUCAAUAAAUCUUGAAACAUG